CCCCUCUCAGGGUGACAUCUGGAGAGUUUCCAGUCUUCUACCAGUCUUGGCUGUGGGAGGGAGAGUCAAGCAGAGGCUUGUCCGUUCCAUUCCUAGCUUGGCCAGUGGCUAGCGAGUAGAAGGCCAUCUGCCACGAGU
rfam:Ornithorhynchus anatinus chromosome X1, whole genome shotgun sequence.